CCGAAAAUCAUUAAUUCACGGCUCCGUUGAAUACACGUGGCUCCAGACUUAUAGCCGUUGCCGUCAACUGUCUUCUGCUCUUACCAAACGCUCCAUCACUUUCGGAAGCACGGUUCUAGCUGCCGAUACUUUAGUUUCUGAUUGGCUACGAUGAGUCGCCGAAACACCGACACCGUUACCACUUCCGUCCACCUGAAACACCAAUGCCGGAAUCAAUAACAUCUGACCGCCGACGCUGAUUCCGGUAAGUCCAACGUACAAGUAAGUGCUCCUUCUCGAGUUACCUAGCAACAGGGCAAUCACGGAGUUACAGACUAGUACGACGGAAGUGAAUGAAGAAGAGAAGGAGAAGAAGAGGAAUUAUUAUUUAAAUACGUGAUACAUUUGAAAAUUUGAAUAAUUAUUUGAAUUAUUAUUUGGCGGCGGAGGAUUAAUAUGUGAUACAUUUGAUUGUAUUUCUAUGAUUUUUAUAUGAUUCAUAUUAUGUUUAUGAAAGUUCUCUAAUUCAUAUUAAUAUUGUCUGCAUUAGUUUGAA